rnacentral:rRNA from 1 species
GACAGAGGGUGCAAACGUUGUUCGGAAUUACUGGGCGUAAAGCGCGUGUAGGCGGCUAUGUAAGUCGGGCGUGAAAUCCCACGGCUCAACCGUGGAAGUGCACCCGAAACUGCGUAGCUAGAGUCCUGGAGAGGAAGGUAGAAUUCCAGGUGUAGCGGUGAAAUGCGUAGAGAUCUGGAGGAAUACCGAUGGCGAAGGCAGCCUUCUGGCCUAAUACUGACGCUGAGGUGCGAAAGCAUGGGGAGCAAACAGG